GGUGUAGUCAAGUACUAACAAGUCGGUGUGUGAGUCAAGAAGGAAUUGAUUUCUCUGAAUUAGUAGGAGAUAUGCAUCAGUGUAUUUCAAUUUAGUAAAAUCUUGGUCAGGAUAAUCUAUGUGAUGGAUUUAAAAGGUUGAAAUAUAAUGUGGUUGAUUAAAUUAGGAUUGACAGUCAAAUCUUAGGUCAUCUUGAGUA
rnacentral:lncRNA from 1 species